UCGAGCGCGGGAAGCGAGCGGAUCCCUUCGGGGUGAAGCUCGUGGAACGAGCGGCGGACGGGUGAGUAACACGUGGGCAACCUGCCUGUAAGAUCGGAAUAACCCCGGGAAACCGGGGCUAAUGCCGGGUAAUACUUUUCUUCGCAUGAAGAUGAGUUGAAAGAUGGCUUCUCGCUAUCACUUACAGAUGGGCCCGCGGCGCAUUAGCUAGUUGGUGAGGUAACGGCUCACCAAGGCAACGAUGCGUAGCCGACCUGAGAGGGUGAUCGGCCACACUGGGACUGAGACACGGCCCAGACUCCUACGGGAGGCAGCAGUAGGGAAUCUUCCGCAAUGGACGAAAGUCUGACGGAGCAACGCCGCGUGAACGAUGAAGGUCUUCGGAUCGUAAAGUUCUGUUGUCAGGGAAGAACAAGUACCGUGCGAAUAGAGCGGUACCUUGACGGUACCUGACGAGGAAGCCCCGGCUAACUACGUGCCAGCAGCCGCGGUAAUACGUAGGGGGCAAGCGUUGUCCGGAAUUAUUGGGCGUAAAGCGCGCGCAGGCGGUUCCUUAAGUCUGAUGUGAAAGCCCACGGCUCAACCGUGGAGGGUCAUUGGAAACUGGGGAACUUGAGGACAGAAGAGGAGAGUGGAAUUCCACGUGUAGCGGUGAAAUGCGUAGAUAUGUGGAGGAACACCAGUGGCGAAGGCGACUCUCUGGUCUGUUUCUGACGCUGAGGUGCGAAAGCGUGGGUAGCAAACAGGAUUA
rnacentral:rRNA from 1 species